rnacentral:rRNA from 1 species
GCUUGCUUUCUUGCUGACGAGCGGCGGACGGGUGAGUAAUGUAUGGGGAUCUGCCCGAUAGAGGGGGAUAACUACUGGAAACGGUGGCUAAUACCGCAUAAUGUCUACGGACCAAAGCAGGGGCUCUUCGGACCUUGCACUAUCGGAUGAACCCAUAUGGGAUUAGCUAGUAGGUGGGGUAAAGGCUCACCUAGGCGACGAUCUCUAGCUGGUCUGAGAGGAUGAUCAGCCACACUGGGACUAAGACACGGCCCAGACUCCUACGGGAGGCAGCAGUGGGGAAUAUUGCACAAUGGGCGCAAGCCUGAUGCAGCCAUGCCGCGUGUAUGAAGAAGGCCUUAGGGUUGUAAAGUACUUUCAGCGGGGAGGAAGGUGAUAAGGUUAAUACCCUUAUCAAUUGACGUUACCCGCAGAAGAAGCACCGGCUAACUCCGUGCCAGCAGCCGCGGUAAUACGGAGGGUGCAAG